rnacentral:rRNA from 1 species
GAUGAACGCUGGCGGCGUGCCUAAUACAUGCAAGUCGAGCGAACGGACGAGAAGCUUGCUUCUCUGAUGUUAGCGGCGGACGGGUGAGUAACACGUGGAUAACCUACCUAUAAGACUGGGAUAACUUCGGGAAACCGGAGCUAAUACCGGAUAAUAUUUUGAACCGCAUGGUUCAAAAGUGAAAGACGGUCUUGCUGUCACUUAUAGAUGGAUCCGCGCUGCAUUAGCUAGUUGGUAAGGUAACGGCUUACCAAGGCAACGAUGCAUAGCCGACCUGAGAGGGUGAUCGGCCACACUGGAACUGAGACACGGUCCAGACUCCUACGGGAGGCAGCAGUAGGGAAUCUUCCGCAAUGGGCGAAAGCCUGACGGAGCAACGCCGCGUGAGUGAUGAAGGUCUUCGGAUCGUAAAACUCUGUUAUUAGGGAAGAACAUAUGUGUAAGUAACUGUGCACAUCUUGACGGUACCUAAUCAGAAAGCCACGGCUAACUACGUGCCAGCAGCCGCGGUAAUACGUAGGUGGCAAGCGUUAUCCGGAAUUAUUGGGCGUAAAGCGCGCGUAGGCGGUUUUUUAAGUCUGAUGUGAAAGCCCACGGCUCAACCGUGGAGGGUCAUUGGAAACUGGAAAACUUGAGUGCAGAAGAGGAAAGUGGAAUUCCAUGUGUAGCGGUGAAAUGCGCAGAGAUAUGGAGGAACACCAGUGGCGAAGGCGACUUUCUGGUCUGUAACUGACGCUGAUGUGCGAAAGCGUGGGGAUCAAACAGGAUUAGAUACCCUGGUAGUCCACGCCGUAAACGAUGAGUGCUAAGUGUUAGGGGGUUUCCGCCCCUUAGUGCUGCAGCUAACGCAUUAAGCACUCCGCCUGGGGAGUACGACCGCAAGGUUGAAACUCAAAGGAAUUGACGGGGACCCGCACAAGCGGUGGAGCAUGUGGUUUAAUUCGAAGCAACGCGAAGAACCUUACCAAAUCUUGACAUCCUUUGACAACUCUAGAGAUAGAGCUUUCCCCUUCGGGGGACAAAGUGACAGGUGGUGCAUGGUUGUCGUCAGCUCGUGUCGUGAGAUGUUGGGUUAAGUCCCGCAACGAGCGCAACCCUUAAGCUUAGCUGCCAUCAUUAAGUUGGGCACUCUAAGUUGACUGCCGGUGACAAACCGGAGGAAGGUGGGGAUGACGUCAAAUCAUCAUGCCCCUUAUGAUUUGGGCUACACACGUGCUACAAUGGACAAUACAAAGGGCAGCGAAACCGCGAGGUCAAGCAAAUCCCAUAAAGUUGUUCUCAGUUCGGAUUGUAGUCUGCAACUCGACUACAUGAAGCUGGAAUCGCUAGUAAUCGUAGAUCAGCAUGCUACGGUGAAUACGUUCCCGGGUCU